rnacentral:rRNA from 1 species
AUUGAACGCUGGCGGCAGGCCUAACACAUGCAAGUCGAACGAGUGGCGGACGGGUGAAUAAUGUCUGGGAAACUGCCUGAUGGAGGGGGAUAACUACUGGAAACGGUAGCUAAUACCGCAUACCAUCAGAUUUGCCCAGAUGGGAUGAGCUUGUUGGUGGGGUAACGGCUCACAAAGGCGACGAUCCCUAGCUGGUCUGAGAGGAUGACCGGCCAAACGGGAACGGAGACACGGUCCAGACUCCUACGGGAGGCAGCAGUGGGGAAUAUUGCACAAUGGGCGCAAGCCUGAUGCAGCCAUGCCGCGUGUGUGAAGAAGGUCUUCGGAUUGUAAAGCACGUUAAGUUGGGAGGCGUUACCAACAGAGUAAGCCCCGGCUAACUUCGUGCCAGCAGCCGCGGUAAUUC